rnacentral:sRNA from 1 species
GCCGGUCAGGGCGGCGAUCUCGAAACGAUCGCGUCCGCCGAGGCGCUCGAUCACGUCGAGCGUGCUGGUCCCGA